CUACGGGUGGCUGCAGUGGGGAAUAUUGCACAAUGGGCGCAAGCCUGAUGCAGCCAUGCCGCGUGUAUGAAGAAGGCCUUCGGGUUGUAAAGUACUUUCAGCGGGGAGGAAGGGAGUAAAGUUAAUACCUUUGCUCAUUGACGUUACCCGCAGAAGAAGCACCGGCUAACCCCGUGCCAGCAGCCGCGGUAAUACGGAGGGUGCAAGCGUUAAUCGGAAUUACUGGGCGUAAAGCGCAAGCAGGCGGUUUGUUAAGUCAGAUGUGAAAUCCCCGGGCUCAACCUGGGAACUGCAUCUGAUACUGGCAAGCUUGAGUCUCGUAGAGGGGGGUAGAAUUCCAGGUGUAGCGGUGAAAUGCGUAGAGAUCUGGAGGAAUACCGGUGGCGAAGGCGGCCCCCUGGACGAAGACUGACGCUCAGGUGCGAAAGCGUGGGGAGCAAACAGGAUUAGAUACCCGGGUAGUC
rnacentral:rRNA from 1 species